CAGUCGCCGCGGUAAGACAGAGGAUGCAAGCGUUAUCCGGAAUGAUUGGGCGUAAAGCGUCUGUAGGUGGCUCUUCAAGUCCGCCGUCAAAUCCCAGGGCUCGACCCUGGACAGGCGGUGGAAACUACCAAGCUAGAGUACGGUCGGGGCAGAGGGAAUUUCCGGUGGAGCGGUGAAAUGCGUUGAGAUCGAAAAGAACACCAACGACGAAAGCACUCUGCUGGGUCGACACUGACACUGAGAGACGAAAGCUAGGGGAGCAAAUGGGAUUAGAUACCCGCGUAGUCCCUGUCUCUUAUAC
rnacentral:rRNA from 1 species